AAAAUUUUAAAAUUUAUAAAUCGUUUUAUUUUUCUGUUUUAAUAUUUUCUUGGUGUAAAUGUUGUAGCAACGUAUAGGUUAGGAGCGGUAAAAGUUGUAGCGCGUUUUCCCACUUGGCCUCCAUUUAUACCCUCGGUGAAGCUGUUGGUCGGAAUUUCCACUACUUUCCACAAAAAAUUUUUCGUCUUUUUCAUCGUUUGUUUACUUUCUUUUUGCCACUGAUACUACUAAACCUAUGAUAUUAAUCAGGGCUGUAUUUAUGCUACUGUGACCAUUCCUCUUUGACUGACCAAAUACAUCCCUGAUGUGGCAUCACCUUUUUUGGUGUGGCAUUUCCGUUUCCGCUUCAUUUUUAAACCAUUGGCGGACGACGUACUUGGAAAUAAAUGGAAGGAGUCGUAUUUGGAAUACGGAAUACAGGAAAGCAAUUGAAAAAUUAUUCGUCAUACAAAAUAUUUAACAGGUCUUUUUUUUCUACAGGAAAAGCAGAGUUUCUUCAAUGAGAAAAACUCGUGUUUGCCAUUGGUAAGCUUGUGCGUACAUAUCGCAAAAAAAUGGUGGCGUGGUUUUACUUACACAUACGUUUAUACGCACAUGAACCCAUUCAACACUCGGCGUUAUCAAUGCUGUUUCAUUGUGUCUCAAUGCAGAAUGCCUUUACACACAUGCCUGUUGUCAUCGGCAGAAUUAUUUCGUACACACCGCUGCCGGCAAUGGCAGAAUUACUGUACGUAUACCGCUGUUAGCAUUGGCAGAACUAUUAAACACACAUCGCUGUCGGUAGCGUUAUUACACGAACAUCGUCAUAUGUGUGUUGUCGUAUGAAGGGUCUACCAUUUCAUUCACACGGAACAACGGCCAUAAAAGAAUGGUAAUUAAGAGUUAUUCAUUUGGCAGAUGAACAUAUAGGAAUUUUAUAUAUGAAGAUACUCUUCAAUUGGCGUAUUCGGUAUUCCAGAAUUUUAUUGUCCAUUAAAUUCAAUUACAUAUAUGGCCCAUUUAUUGUGAGUUUUCGGAGCGGUAAUGUUGGUGGAUAAUCUAUAGUUAUGUACAUAACUAUAACUGGCGUGGCUUAAUAGGCCGACUGCUAAUUGGAACAUAUGGUGGCAUGAGUUUCAUGGGCGACGUACAUGAAAAAGUUUUCCCAACUACCUGUGUGCCACGAUUUUUCGCCCAUUUAUAAACACCAUUACCCUCGUCUCCUAUGUGCGUAAUUUAUAUAAUCGGACAAGCAGUAAAAUAGGACCUUUUCGUGUUUCAAACUGUAAACAUUUAUGGCAAAGUGUCUCAACCUUAAAUACGGUUCAUUGGGUUUUAAGGCCGCAAGGAAAGUUCAAAAUUUCGGAGCUAUCUGCACGGUGUAUCACAAAAAUGUUACCUGGUCAUCCCGGAUACAACAAAAAGAGCAUCACCACAGGCUCAGGGGGAUUUACCAGUUACUUAUGCCGCUCCUCGGACUUGUCAAAUUUCGAAUCGGGAUUUUUGUCCAAUUAAAUUAUUGAAAAAUCUGCCCUCCUCCCGUUUGGAGGGUUUGUGGUGCAAUAUUAAAAGACAAAAGAAAACCCACCGAGCACCAGUCAGUAACAGACAAAAUUAAGAUUCACCAUCAACACUUACUUUUAAGUUUGUCUGCCCAACACAUGGAUUAACACUCUUCAAUAAAAUAACUCAAAAUUCGAACAAAUUUAUAAAUCGUUUUAUUUUUCUGUUUUAAUAUUUUCUUGGUGUAAAUGUUGUAGUAUCCCAACGUAUAGGUUAGGAGCGGUAAAAGUUGUAGCGCGUUUUCCCACUUGGCCUCCAUUUAUACCCUCGGUGAAGCUGUUGGACAAAGAUGUCUUGAUUCUGAGAGGCCCAUUCUUCCAAUUGACUAAGUAUUGCAUGCAAGCCGAUUUUUUUCGAAAGCUUUUGUAAAACAAAACAUAUAUAUUGGUUUUGAUGGAGUUAUUUAUAUAAAAAUAAAGGGAUAUAAGAUUUUCAGCUAUGGAUUUGCCCUUUUUUAAAUGUAAAUUUAAAUGGUCUAAUGAUUUUUUUUAGCAAUAAUAAACCACCACAUUCUUUUAGCAAUGUGAAUCCGCUUCAGGAAUAGGUACAAGAGGGCUAUUUUUGUAAAUUUGCUGAAUGAAUGAGUUAAAUAUGUUAUUAUAAAGUAAAACUAAGCGUACUUUACAAUUCGGCCCUAGGUUCCUGAUCAUUUCAUAGUUUAUCCUGUCUAUCCUUUGAGCUGAUAAAGGGUGACAUUUAAUUCAAACAUGUUUAUAUCUUCUAUUGGAUUCGCGUUUUCGUUAGCAACUAAAUAUGUAUGGCCACGUGCAUUAAUAUUCUUUGUUGACUGGAAUUCAUCAGAAUUGAUGAAUCAGGCCACACUUCGCAAAAAACAUUGGAAAUGUCUGACGGGUCUGUUUGUACAGAGAAAGUAACUCCUAGAAGCUUUUCUGCAAACGUAUUAAUAGCGUAAUUAAUGUAUCAAAAAUUAAAAAGUUUAUGUUUAAAAACCAUACACAAUGCCAGACAAUGGUAGAUGAUAUGGGGAAAAAGAUGGAAACAAUAGAAGAGACCAUAGGGCUUUUGAUCAAUAAUGGAGUAAACGAAAAUAGGAAAGUGUACAAGAAAUUAACUUUAUUUCGCAAUGAAGUAAUUCAUGUAUUUUAAAAUAAAAAUUACUUUAAAACACAAUAAAAGCAUGCAUUCCACAUACUGUAUGAAUGGGUACAUGAAGCAAAUUUUUAUGGUAUACCAGUUAUGAAGCAAAUUUUGUAUUGUAGAAUGUUGCUUAUGUAAAAUAUGAAAAAUGAGUUUGCAUUUCUAAAAUUAAAGAAAAAUAUCCCCAGA